rnacentral:rRNA from 1 species
AAGCACCGGCUAACUACGUGCCAGCAGCCGCGGUGAUACGUAGGGUGCGAGCGUUGUCCGGAUUUAUUGGGCGUAAAGAGCUUGUAGGCGGUUUGUCGCGUCGGGAGUGAAAACUCAGGGCUUAACUCUGAGCUUGCUUUCGAUACGGGCUGACUUGAGGAAGGUAGGGGAGAAUGGAAUUCCUGGUGAAGCGGUGGAAUGCGUAGAUAUCAGGAGGAACACCGGUGGCGAAGGCGGUUCUCUGGACCUUUCCUGACGCUUAGAAGCGAAAGCGUGGGGAGCAAACAGGCUUAGAUACCCUGGUAGUCCACGCUGUAAACGGUGGGUACUAGGUGUGGGGGACAUUCCACGUUCUCCGUGCCGUAGCUAACGCAUUAAGUACCCCGCCUGGGGAGUACGGCCGCAAGGCUAAAACUCAAAGGAAUUGACGG